rnacentral:rRNA from 1 species
UACGUAGGGUGCGAGCGUUGUCCGGAAUUAUUGGGCGUAAAGAGCUCGUAGGCGGUUUGUCGCGUCUGCUGUGAAAACUCGGGGCUUAACUCCGGGCCUGCAGUGGGUACGGGCAGACUAGAGUGCGGUAGGGGAGACUGGAAUUCCUGGUGUAGCGGUGAAAUGCGCAGAUAUCAGGAGGAACACCGGUGGCGAAGGCGGGUCUCUGGGCAAUAACUGACGCUGAGGAGCGAAAGCGUGGGGAGCGAACAGG